AGUGAACGCUGGCGGCAGGCCUAACACAUGCAAGUCGAGCGGAAGAACGGUGCUUGCUUGCGGUUCCAGCGGGGGACGGGCGGGCGAUUCCUGAGAAUAUCCCUGUCUGCGUUUUCGAACGUCCUCACGCGGGCGCUCAUACCGCAUACGCGCAGACGCCGUAAGGGGGGGAGCAUGGGACCUUACGCCCUCGCGUGAUUGUAGGACGGAUUAGCUAGUUGGUGGGUUAACGGGCUACCAAGGCGACGAUCCGUAGCUGGUCUGAGAGGAUGAUCAGCCACACUGGAACUGAGACACGGUCCAGACUCCUACGGGAGGCAGCAGUGGGGAAUAUUGGACAAUGGGCGCAAGCCUGAUCCAGCCAUGCCGCGUGUGUGAAGAAGGCCUUCGGGUUGUAAAGCCCUUUUGGUGGGAAAGAAGAGCAGUAGGUUAAUGCCUUGCUGUUUUGACGGUACCAAAAGAAUAAGCACCGGCUAACUUCGUG
rnacentral:rRNA from 1 species